GAUGAAGAACGCAGUGAAAUGCGAUAAUUAAUGUGAAUUGCAGAAUUCAGUGAAUCAUCGAGUCUUUGAACGCACAUUGCGCCCCCUGGCAUUCCGGGGGGCAUGCCUGUCCGGGCGUCAUUGCUGCCCUCAAGCACGGCUUGUGUGUUGGGCUUCCGUCCCUGGCAACGGGGACGGGCCCAAAAGGCAGUGGCGGCACCAUGUCUGGUCCUCGAGCGUAUGGGGCUUUGUCACCCGCUCCCGUAGGUCCAGCUGGCAGCUAGCCUCGCAACCAAUCUUUUUAACCAGGUUGACCUCGGAUCAGGUAGGGAUACCCGCUGAACUUAAGCAUAUCAAUAAGCGGAGGA
rnacentral:misc_RNA from 1 species